GCUUGUCUCAAAGAUUAAGCCAUGCACGUCUAAGUAUAAAUAUUUCACUUUGAAACUGCGAAUGGCUCAUUAUAUCAGUUAUAGUUUAUUUGAUAGUCCCUUACUAUUUGGAUAACCGUAGUAAUUCUAGAGCUAAUACAUGCACUCGAGCCUCGACCGAGGCCCCGGCAACGGGGUCGCGGAAGAGGUGCUUUUAUUAGAUCAAAACCAGUCGGGGAAACGAUCGCGCCGGGUCAAACCGGUCGGUCGCGGAACCGUACCAAUUUUGGUGACUCUGGAUAACUUCACGCCGAUCGCACGGCCUUCGCGCCGGCGACGUAUCUUUCAAAUGUCUGCCUUAUCAACUGUCGAUGGUAGGUUACGCGCCUACCAUGGUUGCAACGGGUAACGGGGAAUCGGGGUUCGAUUCCGGAGAGGGAGCCUGAGAAACGGCUACCACAUCCAAGGAAGGCAGCAGG
rnacentral:rRNA from 1 species